GGUUGGUGUCCCGGUUGGUGAUGGAUCUUUAGUCCCGGUUAUUUCAAUUGGGACUAAAUAUAGGCAUUUUUAGUCCCGGAUUCAUAGUCCCGGUUGAAAAACCGGGACUAAAAGGGGUUACCAACCGGGAGUAUAAAUGG
rnacentral:misc_RNA from 1 species